AUGAUAGCUGGUGAUUUUAAUGAAAUUUUGUAUUCCCAUGAAAAAGAGGGUGGAGUGUCGAGGCCAAUGCACAUGAUGCAGAACUUUCAAGAUGCCCUUGUUGAUUGCGAGAUGAAGGAUAUGGGAUGUAACGGUGAUCUUUACACUUGGAGGAGGAGGAGGCUUAGGGAACGGCUGGACAGAGCGGUAUGUAAUGGCCAGUUUCAUGGUUUAUUCCCAAGUACAAAAGUCACUAACACUGCUCAUAUAAAGUCGGAUCACAGACCCCUC
rnacentral:rRNA from 1 species